rnacentral:misc_RNA from 1 species
AUGUGCUUACAGCUUGGUGCUUAUCGACUUUACGAGUUUUAUCGUAACACAUUCGCUCUACGGUCGAUUUCCUAGUUUCUGACUUUCUGAGCAUCAUCGUUUGCCGUUGAUUCUUUUUUGGCCGUGGCCGUGGUCGCAGUCCUGUCUCAUAAAACACACUCUCGUUCCAUCUUUUGUAAAAAUAUAUAUUUCAUAUUACUAGUACGUACCUUGGCUACGAUACUGCGGUAAAUUCUUGGACAUUCCGCACACACGGAUCAUUGCAUAAAACAAAAUAAACUCAAAUUUAUAUACUAUCUAGUAUUGGCAUCGGCACGUUUUUUCUCGCAGUUACUGUAACUGCAUUUCACCGACCGACGGAACUCUCCAGACAUUUGGCGUUAGCAUGAUAAUGGCCUGGCAGCCGCAAGAAGAGGGAUUACGGCAAAUCAUUCAGCUGCUCAAAGAAUCCCAGUCGCCUGACACGGUUAUACAACGGACUGUACAACAAAAAUUGGAAGAACUAAAUCAAGUAUCAGAUUUUAACAAUUAUUUGAUAUUUGUAUUGACAAAACUUACUUCUGAAGAUGAACCUACAAGAUCAUUAAGCGGUUUGAUAUUGAAAAAUAACAUCAAGAGUCACUAUGAAAAUUUACCCCCUACAGUUACGGAGUUUGUAAAGUCUGAAUGCCUAACUGCAGUUGGAGAUAAUUCAGCAUUAAUAAGGGCAACUGUUGGCAUUUUAAUCACAACAAUAGCAUCACGUGGUAUCAACACCUGGCCUGAGCUUUUGCCUGCCCUUUGUCAAAUGCUUGAUUCUGCCGAUUAUAAUGUUUGCGAGGGGGCUUUUGGAGCUUUGCAAAAAAUAUGUGAAGAUUCAUCUGAGUAUUUAGAAGACGAUCGGCAAAACAAGCCGCUUGAUAUCCUCAUUCCAAAGUUUCUACAAUUUUUUAAACAUUCAAGUCCAAAAAUUAGAUCACAUGCAAUUGGAUGUGUAAAUCAGUUUAUCGUACAGAAAACCCCUUCUUUAAUGAAUCACAUUGAUGUGUUUUUAGAGAAUUUAUUUCAUUUAGCUGUUGACGAUGAAGCAGAAGUUAGGAAAAACGUUUGCAGAGCAAUUGUUAUGCUUUUAGAAGUAAGAAUGGAUCGACUACUUCCCCAUUUACAUGAUAUCAUUGAGUAUAUGUUAUUAAGAACGCAAGAUCCAGAUGAAAAUGUUGCAUUAGAAGCAUGUGAGUUUUGGUUAUCAAUUGCUGACCAACAAAUAUGUAAAGAAGCACUUACACCAUAUUUACCUAGACUAGUACCUAUUCUUGUUAAUGGAAUGCGAUACUCAGAAAUAGAUAUUAUUUUAUUAAAGGGUGAUGUUGAAGAAGAUGAAAAUGUUCCUGAUCGUGAAGAAGAUAUUCGCCCUAGAUUUCAUAAGUCACGUAAUACACAUGGUAAUGAAGAAGAUAAUAAUGACGAAGAAGAUGAUGAUGAUAAUUUAGGAGAUGAUAGCAGUUUAUCUGAUUGGAAUUUAAGAAAGUGUAGUGCUGCUGCUUUAGAUGUAUUAGCUAAUGUAUUUAAAGAGGAUAUUCUUCCAAUACUUAUGCCUAUUUUAAAAGAAACACUUUCAUCUACUGAAUGGGAAGUCAAAGAAUCUGGAAUCUUAGCUUUAGGAGCUAUUGCUGAAGGAUGCAUGAAUGGUAUGAUCCCACAUUUAAAUGAACUUAUACCAUACAUGAUUAAUCAUUUGAGUGACAAAAAAGCAUUAGUUCGAGCCAUCAUAUGUUGGACACUUUCUCGUUAUUGCCACUGGGUUGUUAGUCAACCACAUGAACUAUAUUUAAAAUCAAUGAUGCAUGAAUUACUUAAACGAAUAUUGGAUUCCAACAAAAGGGUUCAAGAAGCUGCAUGUUCUGCUUUUGCUACUUUAGAAGAAGAAGCAACUACUGAACUAGUACCAUAUUUAGGAUUUAUAUUAGAAACAUUAGUGUUUGCUUUUAGUAAAUAUCAACAUAAAAAUUUAUUAAUUUUAUAUGAUGCAAUUGGGACUUUGGCUGACUCGGUUGGUCAUAAUUUAAAUAAGCCAGAAUAUAUUCAUUUAUUGAUGCCUCCCUUAAUUCAAAAAUGGAAUGCGUUGAAAGAUGAAGAUAAAGAUCUGUUUCCAUUAUUAGAAUGUUUAUCUAGUGUUGCCACUGCAUUACAAUCUGGAUUCAUGCCAUAUGCUGAGCCAGUAUUCAAAAGAUGUAUUUCACUAGUUGAACAAACAUUAAACCAAAAUAUAGCUAAUUCUCAAAGUCCAGACCAGUUUGAUGCACCUGAUAAGGAUUUUAUGAUUGUAGCUCUAGACUUACUAUCAGGUUUAGCAGAAGGAUUAACUACAUUUAUUGAAAGUUUAAUAAAUGGUUCAAAUACAUUACAAUUGCUUUAUCAGUGCAUGCAAGAUCCAUUAGCUGAAGUAAGGCAAAGUUCUUUUGCUCUUCUUGGAGAUCUGACAAAAGCAUGUUUCCAACACGUACAUCCCUGUAUAGCUGAUUUCAUGCCAAUAUUAGCCCAAAAUUUGAAUCCUGAUCACAUCUCAGUUUGUAAUAAUGCCACAUGGGCAAUAGGAGAGAUUGCUGUAAAAUUGGGUACUGAAAUGCAACCAUAUGUACCAAUCAUUUUAAAUCAGUUAGUAGUAACAAUGAACCGAACAAAUACACCUAAAACUCUACUAGAAAAUACAGGUGUACUUCAUUACGUAAUAUCCGAGACAAUGAUGAAAAAGACAGUGCAUUUAGAGGUAUGUGUCAAAUGAUAAGUCUAAAUCCUGGUGGAGUAGUUCAAGAUUUCAUAUUCUUUUGUGAUGCCAUUGCUUCAUGGAUCAAUCCUAAAGACGACUUAAAGGAUAUGUUUUACAAAAUAUUACAUGGCUUUAAAAAUCAAGUAGGAGAAGAAAAUUGGACUAGAUUUACUGAUCAAUUUCCUCAACAGUUGAAGGAGCGCCUAUCAACUGCA